GAUGAACGCUGGCGGCGUGCCUAAUACAUGCAAGUCGAGCGAACGGACGAGAAGCUUGCUUCUCUGAUGUUAGCGGCGGACGGGUGAGUAACACGUGGAUAACCUACCUAUAAGACUGGGAUAACUUCGGGAAACCGUAGCUAAUACCGGAUAAUAUUUUGAACCGCAUGGUUCAAAAGUGAAAGACGGUCUUGCUGUCACUUAUAGAUGGAUCCGCGCUGCAUUAGCUAGUUGGUAAGGUAACGGCUUACCAAGGCAACGAUGCAUAGCCGACCUGAGAGGGUGACGGGCCACACGGGAACGGAGAACCGGCCCAAAACCCUAGGGGGGGCAGCAGGAGGGAAUUUUCCGAAAGGGGCGAAAGCCUGACGGAGCAACGCCGGGUGGGGUAUGAAGGUCUUCGGAUCUUAAAACCUUUUUAUUGGGGAAAAAAAUAUGUGUAAGUAACUGUGCACAUUUUGACGGUACCUAAUCAGAAAGCCACGGCUAACUACGU
rnacentral:rRNA from 1 species